rnacentral:lncRNA from 1 species
UUUUUAAACAUAUAGAUACAUAUAUAUUGAUACACACACACAAUAUAAUUGGAAGGUAAUCUCAGAGGGAAGCCAUUAGCAGGAAGUCGGAAGCAGGGGCCUCCAGAGAGACCUACAGAACUGGGGAUUUGAGGGGCAGAGUCCUUCUCUUUAGCCUUAUCUAGUCAUGAAUUCCAGAGCCAUAGGAGCUUAGUAAGGGAAGGCAGUGAGACGGAGAACGGGAGGGAGAUGGGAAACAUCCCUCCCCUUUUGAACUUUAGAGUCUCACCCCAGCACCCAGGACCACACUCAGUGUCAUUGUCAGCGGUCCUGGCUCACACUGGGAAGUUCUGCGCUCUAGUCAACUGGGAAAUAGAUUUUGAUGUUUAAAAAAAAAAAGGAAAGGUUUCAUGAUAAAAAAGGCAUUCAUUCUCCCCAGCCGGCGGGAGGCUCUGGCCGUCCUGCUCCUGUCACCCCUGAGGAUUCUUCCAGCGCCAUCUCCAUCAGCUCGAGCAUCAGCUCAGCCAAGUUGGGACUCUUGGCACGGCCCCCGUGUAGAGCCCAGCCAAAGAAUUCCAUGCUGUGCACAUCUGCAGCGCGGAACGCGGGCCUUUCGGAGGGAGAUUUAUUGCUUUUGCUUCUUCCCCUCCUCCUCGUCGAAGGUUUCUGGAUGCUGUUCCUUGUGUACAGCAUGCGCCUCGGGCUUAUCGGGGACGGCUUCUGGUUCCUGGAUAGUGUUCCGUGGCUGCCGCCCUUUUUUUCCUGACGAUCACAGAAAGGCGCUAGUGACUCAUAAGGGACCAGAGAACUACUGGACCAUUUGGAGAACUCCACUGCCCUAGAAGCAUCCCUGCUAGAAAUUAUGCUGCUAAACCUCUACAAUAGAAGCAGGGGAGAAACUGCAUGAAAAACUAUUUGGGCAAAACUCUGAUUCAGAGAAUAAUGUCUUCUGUAAUUCUUCUCUUUUCUAAUAACACUUUCCCUCUAAUCUGUUGCCUCUUCUAAUCAAAUAGAUAUACUGCCUUGAAUCCCUGGCAUCUGGAACAAAAUACAUCUUAUAAAUCACAAGCACUGCAGUAUGAAUUAUUCAGACUCGUUACCCCAACUUCCAGGGGCAUUUUGAGUCUGGCUCCAACUAGCUUCCUCUUCCUUCUAAAAGGCAAAAGGAGCCCACCUGGUGACCCUGGGCUCCAAAUGCUGAGCAUUCAUCUUGUCCUGGUCUCAAGCCCACCUAAAGGGGCAUUGACCUACUUGCUAUGAAAAGGUUAAAAAAAAAAAGGACAUUGAAAGCUGGUCUUCUUCCCCCCCAUCCCAAGAGGGCCAAUUUAUAUGAACAGCAGUCCUUGCCCCAGUCAUUGCUGUCUCAAUCUAUAUCUCAAAUUUCUUCAGCUGAUCUUCCCAUAACUGUAUCAUUGUAUGUCUAAGAAUGCCCAUAGCUGAAGCCAAUAGUACAUCUUGUCCUGAAGACAAGAUCCAAUUGGCCCUGACUCAGAUGGGUCAUAGGGUAUGGCAAGGGGGUACCAUAGAGUCAUUCUAUCAAACUCAUUCCCUUUCAGAGGCACUAACUGGGGCUAGCUACAACAAGAAUUCACCUUUAAUGGAGCCAGGUACACAUAGUUUCUGUAGUAUUCCAGGAAGAAUCUCGGAGCUGAGCCACAAAGAGUGUACUUACCAUGCCUCUAGCUUGUACGUCAAAGAUUUGUCAAGCCAAUGUAAAUCCUCUAUAUGUAUUACCUGCCUCUGACGUCAUUACAUCAAUAAAAAGUCAGGAAGGGACA